rnacentral:miRNA from 1 species
ACAAAAGUCACUGUGGAUUUUGU